GAAAACCCUAGCUUCAUCCCUUUCCUCCAGUCCACGACGCCGCCGCCGCCCUCUCGUGCCCUCCUCUCUGUCGCUGUCGCCACGUGCCCUCCUCUCCGUCGCUAUCGCCGCCCGCCCUCCUCUCCGUCGCCGCCGCCGCGCGCCCUCCUCUCCGUCGCCGUCGCCGUCAUCGCGCGCCUUCCUCUUCGUCGCCAUCGCCACUCGCCUUCCUCUCCGUCGCCGUCGCCGCUGCCUCCCUCUAUUUCGCCGGCGACACCGCCGCUGCCAUCCUCUAUUCCGCCGGUCAUGCCGUUGCCACCUCCCUCUAUUUCGCCGGUGAUGCUGCCGCCCUCUAUUCCACCUUCGUUGUUGUCCUCUGCUCUGGUGCCGUCACCGCCAAACUGCCCUCCUAGUUGCAGCUAGAGGUGUUUGCCUGUGUGGCCCUGCUCUUUCCCUGCCAUGGAUACGUUUCUUUGAAUGAGCAAACAAGCUUCAUGCUCUAUCACUAACUGCGAGGACAGACAAUUGCCCCAUAAUGCUUGAGUCUUUUGUCCAAGACGAUUCCAACAUCAGGAUUGCCAUCUAUUCAAGUAAUACACGGUACUAUUCCUCUCAUUGCGAUUAACUGCUACUUUCUAUGACAUAAAUUAUGCAUUGGAUCCCAAUCAGUGGCACUAAGUUUUAGGUUGACUGCAAUGCCUUUUCUCUGCAGUUGCUCACUGCAAUUGCUUUUUGUCAAGCCUCAUUGAUGUAUUCAACAAGUAUCAGUCGCUGAAGCAAGUUCUGCUGCAGCACAAAUCUAACAGUGUUAGGUUCUUAUGUUCUUCUGGUUAUACCUAGCAUUCUUCAAUGCCAAUUUAUCACAUUUCUAGGUGCCUUUUCUGGUUAUAGUUUCUUACUCUAUUUUUAUAGCAUCUAUAUGAAGCAGCAAUAGUCAUUUCAGGAUUCUUUCCUGCUGGUAGGACAGAUGUGGAAUCAUAACAAAUGUCCAAAUUUGGCGUGUUUCAUAUGACCUAAGUAGCAAAAAGAUAGGCAUUAGUACAAUUAGACAUGGCUUGUGGGUAAUAAGGCUUAGCUAUAUGGUCAUUAACUUAGCUAUAAAGUUGUUACUUGACCAGAUCAGCUAUCUGGCAGAACUAAGACUUACAACUGGCACAUCACUUCAGAGAACAUACUUGCUUAGACCUGCAACUUGCAUGUACCAUAUUCUUCAGAUACGUUGGUUGCCCAUAUAAAAUGGGGUCUUAAUUCCUUUACGUGCAAUAAUUCAUAAAGUCUGAAUUCAUCUUCAACAGUGCUUUGGUCACAACCAAUUGAAAGCUGUAGAUAUUUCUUACCACACACAUUCCUUAUGGUAGUGUUCAAAUAAAAUAAAUUUACUCUAAAUAUUUGCUUGACUGAAAGACAAUUUACCUUUAUUGCAUUUCAGGAUUCAGUUAUACCCUAAAACAGAUUUAUUUGACCCUUUAUAAAGUUACAUGUCCAUAUUAUAUAUUCAUAUUAAUAUUAGUUUAUUCCAAGCUACAGUCCAAAUAAAUAAUUGAACCAUUUGGUAGUAAUCAGUUGUUGAGCAAAGCUCCCAAAUAGCACGUGUAAUCAAGUUCUAUUGUGUUGUAUUCAUACUCUCAGAUGGUGGUUAGAUCUUUAUGCCACAUUAUGACUUAAUGAAUGUAUCCUCUUAUGUGAAUUAGCUAAGCAUUGACAAGUGAAGUCCUUGCAUGAUUACAUCUUAUUUAAUCUUUGUAAGAUAAGUUAAUUAGCAUAUCCAUAUGUUUUUAGUUUUGACUUACACAAAGAAACUGCUAUAUUUAGUCACUGGCUAAUUCAUUACUUCGUUGAGUUAUUUCUCUCUUCUGUUGACUGCAGUAAUAACUGGUGCUUUCUUCACUAGGUCAACAUCUCCUUUGUUUAUAUAUACCUUACCCAUCUUUACGGAAUCACAUUCACUGCACUUGCAUCUUUUUCCCUUUUCUCCAUUGAUACUAUCCUCAAUCUAUUAGUGUGGUAACACCGGUAUAUAUUCUGUUGAAUUGUAUGAUAGGUGAUGCCUUUCUGAAUGAUAUUGGUACAAUUGGAAGGAUAAUAGAGCAAAGAUUUACCUUUUGUUUUUAUGGUGUCCUGGCCAUAGUCAAACACGGGAGAUCACCAUACAUUAGUUGAUUCUGCCUAAUUCUAAUACCAAUGUAAUUGCAAGUUGACAUUGAUUUCAGACACCGCUUUGUGUAAAGAUAUUUUGUAGAAGUUCUUUUAUCCUACUUCAACCAUUGCAUGCCGAAGCAAAACA